GAGAGCUGCCAAAAUGAGCUGACACAAGUGCAGCACUGUCUUCUCCCUACAUAUGUCUUGGAUCAUGAGGCAUAGCAGCAUUUGAGCUUCAGAAUGGUGCUUGAAGAGCAUGCUUCAUGGGGAUAUGAGCAUGAUAUUUGAGAACCCAUCAGUCAAUGCAAAUAAGCUCCUAGGAUGAGGAGGAGUUCUGCCAGGUUACUGUUGCUCAGGAUGGGUGCUUCUCUACCAGUGAGGGAAAGAGAUAGAAGCUGUGUGGUGUUUGGCUGCCUACAGGGUUAAUCCACGGCAGCAAGCAUUUCAGAAAACCCUAUGAUUGUCAGACUUGUAAACAAUAAGUUACAGAAGGAAAGGAGGCAGACAUGUUACAGCAAAGACUUUCAAGGGUGAACCAAGGCACCAAUUAUUACUAUAUGAGUCUGGAAUCUACUUUCUUUAAAGGAUGGAGCUUAAAAUCUGUCCUCAGUCCCUAAGCCACCAAUAUUCUGUAAUAACUGUAAAUUUGGGGCAAUUGGCCAACAGACCUGUCACAGUUCGGUUGUGUGAAUGCUGUCACAGCGAUGUGGCUGCCAUUUUAUCAAAAGAUUUCCCAGUUUCAAGUGGUUCUUCAGAGAGCUCCUGACUCACUCAGAAAGCAGUGUUACCUGGCCAGCCCAUGACACUUCCCUCAUCUUCACACCCACAACUCAGCCCACUCUUCUUUUUUCGCCCUCUCUUUUAGUCUUUCCUGCUCCUUAGUCUUACUCAGUCAAGAUGGGCCGGUUAUCACAGCACACGUGACAACAGCUGCAUGCAUAUCUAUUUAGACAAGUAUUUAAAAAGCAGGGUCAUCCCAUGGGUGCUUUCUGUCUGUUUAUAAUGUGUAUAUGGGCAAAAUGUAAGAGUAUUUUAAAUAGCACACGAUAUAAUUUCAUAUGGAAGCUAACAGACAAAACUGAAUGUACUGUGCUUAUUUUUUUUCACAAGACAAUCGGUUUGCACAAUACCAACAAGGUGUCAAUUGUACUUUAAAGAAGAAACUGUACAAGACUAUCAGAUAUUUCAGAAAAUAUCCUCUGAAAUCAAUAAAUGGUUCCUGAAAAGCAAAGGCA